rnacentral:rRNA from 1 species
AGAGUUUGAUUCUGGCUCAGGAUGAACGCUAGCUACAGGCUUAACACAUGCAAGUCGAGGGGCAGCAGGACGAUAGCUUGCUAUGUUGCUGGCGACCGGCGCACGGGUGAGUAACGCGUAUCCAACUUCCCCUUAGUAGGGCAUAGCCCGGUGAAAAUCGGAUUAAUACCCUAUGUUGUGUCAUGAGGACAUCUGAAUAACACUAAAGAUUUAUCGCUAAGGGAUGGGGAUGCGUCCGAUUAGGUAGUCGGCGGGGUAACGGCCCACCGAGCCCUCGAUCGGUAGGGGUUCUGAGAGGAAGGUCCCCCACACUGGUACUGAGACACGGACCAGACUCCUACGGGGGGCAGCAGUGAGGAAUAUUGGUCAAUGGGCGUAAGCCUGAACCAGCCAAGUAAGCGUGCAGGAUGACGGCCCUAUGGGUUGUAAACUGCUUUUAUACGGGGAUAAAGUGAGGGACGUGUCCCUUAUUGUAGGUACCGUAUGAAUAAGGACCGGCUAAUUCCGUGCCAGCCGCAGC